rnacentral:rRNA from 1 species
GUAGGUGGCAAGCGUUGUCCGGAAUUAUUGGGCGUAAAGCGCGCGCAGGCGGUUCUUUAAGUCUGAUGUGAAAGCCCACGGCUCAACCGUGGAGGGUCAUUGGAAACUGGAGAACUUGAGUACAGAAGAGGAAAGCGGAAUUCCACGUGUAGCGGUGAAAUGCGUAGAGAUGUGGAGGAACACCAGUGGCGAAGGCGGCUUUCUGGUCUGUAACUGACGCUGAGGCGCGAAAGCGUGGGGAGCAAACAGGAUUAGAUACCCUGGUAGUCCACGCCGUAAACGAUGAGUGCUAAGUGUUAGGGGGGUUUCCGCCCCCCUUAGUGCUGCAGCUAACGCAUUGAGCACUCCGCCUGGGAGUACGGCCGCAAGGCUG